UACAGAGGUCUCAAGCGUUGUUCGGAUUCAUUGGGCGUAAAGGGUGCGUAGGUGGCGCCGUAAGUCAGGUGUGAAAUUUCGGAGCUUAACUCCGAAACUGCAUUUGAUACUGCGGUGCUUGAGGACUGGAGAGGAGACUGGAAUUCACGGUGUAGCAGUGAAAUGCGCAGAUAUCAGGAGGAACACCGGUGGCGAAGGCGGGUCUCUGGGCCAUAACUGACGCUGAGGAGCGAAAGCGUGGGGAGCGAACAGG
rnacentral:rRNA from 1 species